rnacentral:lncRNA from 14 species
AAUCUUAUUUUAGAUUUAUUUCAUUGCAGGACAAAGAGGCUUUAUCACAACCAAACAGGCAAAACAACAUACAGACUUGAGGAAACAGCACUUCUCUAAUUCUUUCCAAAAGUUCAGAGAUUCACCCAAAUUUGGUGGGUUACCUCCACCGGUCUUCCUGAUUUGAGAUGUAACGUGGGGUGCAAGAGUGCCUCAGAUGAGGGCUGUAGUAAAACAAGGAGCCAGCCUCAAUGGAAAUAGCCCAUUAUCGAGAUCUAACCAGGAGACUUUCUAAGGCAAAACUGAAAGUGCAUCAAGAAAUUUAAGAAGCCAAAAGAUCCCCAAGAUAUCUAGAAGCAAGACUAUGAGGAGUAAUGUAGCUUGGAAUGAACAAGAUGAAGAUACCCACCUUCAAUCUAACGCUUAAUGAGGAAAAAGGCUGUUUCAUUGGAGCCAGGGAAUCAUGA